ACAAGUUCCUACCAUCUCAAACACUGCCAAUCUAUAAUAAAAAGAAAGUACUUGAACGCCUACAGUAGUCAAACACAAACCAGAACAUAUCAGUGCAUGACAAUGAAAUGUAGUCACAAUAUUUCCUCUACCCAUUCAAGUCCCAAAAAGGACCGAGGAACUUACCAGAGGUGAUCCCUGGAUUUCAAACAGAGCACAAUGUAGCCAAUAUAGGUGAGAAGAUUACAGAGAGCUCUUCUCAGAUUGCUCAGAGUCAGCCCCAGGACCCUGUCUUGACUGAAGGAGACAAAGUGGUGAACCAGGAGAAGAAGAAACGGUGGUAUCACACUUUGCUCAAGUGUAUGAUGCCAUGUGUGUACAGCAGAAAUCACUAAAGGAACAGCAGACACCUGAGUAGAGAACAAGAAUAUGAAAAGACUGAUGAAAAAAAGCACCAGGAGAAAUCCAUUGAAUAUGCACAAUCUCAUACAGUAUUUAAGUGAAACGUUUCAGUGUUGUU